GACGAAGGGGGCUAGCGUUGUUCGGAAUUACUGGGCGUAAAGUGAGUGUAGGUGGUUGUCGUAGUCAGGCGUGAAAGCCUUGAGCUCAACUCAAGAAAUGCGCUUGAUACUGGGCAGCUAGAGGACCGGAGAGGAUAGUGGAAUUCCCAGUGUAGUGGUGAAAUACGUAGAGAUUGGGAAGAACACCAGUGGCGAAGGCGGCUAUCUGGACGGUUUCUGACACUAAGACUCGAAAGCGUGGGGAGCAAACAGG
rnacentral:rRNA from 1 species